GCUUGGGGGGGGGGGAGUUGCUGAGACUUAAAAGACCAGAGAACCAAAGUAAGGGAGACCCUGCCCAGCAUUUAAGGACUGAGGGUAACCGUACUCAAGGGGGAAGAGGAAUUGAAGCCAGUAUUUUUUGGCAACACAUGUGAUAUGUAUGUCACAGCUGUGGGACCCACAUGCCAAACUCUGGAAUGUGUUUUACCAGCAGCAGCAUGUGGGCCUAUGUUCCUCCCUUGCUUGCUGGCUGAUUCCAGCUUCUGCUCUGGUUUCACUGCAAGCUGUGGACUUGCAUAAGAGUUUUAACCAAGAAGGCCGGUGGUGAUUGGACUUCUAACAUAGUGAAUGUCAGUGAAAAUGAGGAGGACCACCUCACCCGGGAACCACUUGCUAAGCACAAAGGGACCUAGAUCUACUGCUCCAAACAUGAGAGAGUAAUGUAUUUCAAUGGGAGCAUAUAUGUCCUCCAGGGGGCCCUCACCUCAAGGUUCCUGGACUACAUUGUCUCAGAUCAAGACCCCCAAUUCACCUUGUGCUUCUGGUGGCUACUGGAAAUCCGCACUUCUACCUCCACUGCUUACCAUCUCCAAACAGAUGGGCAGGCUGAUAGGGUGAAUCAGGUACUGGAACAGCACCUCAGAUACUUCACUAACUAUCACCAAGAUAACUGGUACAAAUACUUGCUGAGUUUUCCUACAAUAAUGCAGACCAUACCUUGACAGGACAGAGCUUUCUUCACAAAUUAUGAGUUCCACCCCUGAUUCCAUCUGGCACUAUCAGCAGCAUUGCUGAACCCAGCUGCUGCCAAGAAAUCAUAUCCAGGAGGACCACUCAGAGAAUGCGUAGAGAGCUUACAAGCAGUAUGCUGACCUGUGGUGCUGGAAGGCCCUGGCCCUCUCUGUAGGCCAGAAGGUCUGGCUUGCUUUGAAGCAUCUGCUGUUCAGUAGAUCCUCCUGCAAGCUGGACCACCAGUUCCUGGGAUCUUUCUGGAUAUGCCAGCAAGUCAACCCUGUUGCUUUCAAAGCUUCUCCAAUCCCUCAAGAUAGAUCCCAUGUUCCACAUGUUCCUCCUAAAAUCCUAUGCUGAGGACCCCUUCCCUGGCUGAACCAUGCCUCCGCCCCGAGGGUCAAAGUCUAAGAUCAUGAAGAAUAUGUGGUGCACAUCAUCCUUAAUUCUAAAUGCACCUGAGGAUGACUAUACUAUUUUGUACAUUGGGAAGGAUACAGAUCCAAAGAGUGCACUUGGGAACCUGCCUCCUAUGUCCACGCCUCUGACCUAGUGAGAGAGUUUCACAAGGCUCAUCCAGACAAGUCUGGACUGUUCUAGCCUGAAAAAGAGGGGUUGCCAGGGAAAGGGUGUUGGGCCUAGAACCAGAGACUGUGGCAAGCACCACUUCCUCAUUGCCAUUAGGGUUCUGGGGGUGGCGGUUGCCACUGAGAAGUACUGUGAGGCUAAGUCUUUCAGGAAGUCCCGCCCUAAGGCGCAUGAAUGACAGCUCUUUGUGAUUCACUGAUUGGCUGUCACUCUCCAUAUAAACCAGGAAGCCAUUUCUGGGAGUUAUCUGAGUGAUGCAGAGCUCUGGUAUACUUUUAUCCUAAAACUUCCCUUGCCUGGAUCCCAGACUCUGGGCUCUCAACCUUGGCCCAGCUCCCAACACUGAUCAAUGUUUACUGUCUUUGGCUUAGGACCACUGCAGAUCCUGGUGAAAGACCCAGCCUGGCCUGGCCUGGCCCCAAAUCUUGCCACAGGCUCUGAAUUUAAUACCACACUCUAACGCUGAGGUUUUUGAGCUGGCCUGGUUCCAGACUGAUCUUCAACUCUUCGGCCCAGAUACAGAGCAGCUCAGCCUGUGCCCACAGGCCACCCAUGACACAGCCCUGACACAUUGCCCUAUACCAUGAAAAUUAUGAGACAACCUCUAUUCAGUUACAACCGUGCAACUCUGAUUUAUUGAGGUGCUGAGCCAUUUAUUGAGUUGGUGCUGUGCUUGGUAUCUAAGGGGUUAAGGUCAGCAUAGUGGUUUUUUUUUUCUCUGUUCACCAGUUGUUCCCACAGGACAUCAUGAGGAACUGAAAAAAAUAGCACACAGAAAAUUUUCAAGGCACAGUAGUGUCUGGUAAAGCAGGUCACUAGCUAUGCAAGGGCCAGCUCUUUUCUCUUUUCUGAUGCAGGUAAUGCUCUCAAUGAGAGCAAUGGGCCAAAUUCUGAAAUAUUUACUGCAUUCAUACUUGGUCAUACCUCUCACUGAGGUCAAUGGGAAGGAAUCUGAGUAAAAUGUAUUUGCCAGAUAGCUGUAUUUCCAUAGUAUGAUUCAGAGACAGAACUCAGCUAACUGUUUCCCAGAACGGCCAUAGGUGACCUUCUUUAUCAUACAGACAUCAGCACAAUACAUCACUGACCUCAGAAGAGGUGAAGCCAAGUAGAGAAAAGAACAACCCCAGGGGAAAGCAAAAACUAUUUAUAUCAAAUAAUAGAAAUUGGACGACCUUAUACUAGGCAGCUCACAUGUAAAUCUUUUAAAGCCUUCCACUCUAGAUUUCUUACAUUUAAAAGAAUAUAUACAAAAUGAACACGUUUCUUCUUUUUCUGAGCCUGAAAAAUGAUUGACAAAAUGAUAGCUCUUCUGUGACAAUAUGAAGUGAUAUUGAAAUUAGAAAUGACCUUAUUGUUUUGCAAAUUUGUUCAGCAAAAUAUACAUAAUAAAUAAUCCUUAGCUUUCAAAUAGCUGAUUUUGCUGUGUUGCAGGAGAACUAGCAUUAUGAUCAUGACUGAACAAGAAAGGUUUUGCUCUCAUAUAAAACUAAAGGUACUGCUGUUAGCAGCACACAGUUGCACCUGUUGAAAUAUUGUAGCAGCUCUUUAGGUAACUCAUAACAAAAGUGUAUGCUCUCAUACUUGCCAAUUGUUAUCUCUUACACAAGUCCUGAAUUCUACUCUAGUAGGGGUUUAGGUCAGGUUCCACAUGAUUAUUUCAGGUAUGGGCCUAUGAUAACAGCAACUUUUCAGCUGAUAAGGAACAGGCAUUUAUUUGAUGCUGACUAGAGAGAAGAUUACAUGCCUUAUUUGUAUCUCAACCCAUUUGGAUGUUAUAUGUUGCUCUCAUUUUAAUAUAGAGGAUUUAUACAUGUGGGCUGAUUUCCAUCAAGGUUGGGGCAUGGAGGAGGUCUGUCAUAAU